CAAUGGGUGAGAAAUCCACUCCUUACAAUGUGUUCUAGCCGAACGUUUGGUAGUACUUUACUGCCAUAUUCGUAUUCACAUAAAGAGUAGCUUUUUUUUUGUUUCUGAGAUUUCUCCGACCGGCUGUGACGUCACAAUAUGAUUUAUUACUGAACUUGCAAGUAAUGAACUUCCUCGUAAAAGCAGAGGUAUCGAUGCUUGCUGGGGACCGCUAACUUUAACCCGGUGCGUUCACUUAAGGCAACAAAUUCAGGAUGCAGUGAUGGUGGGAUUGAUGUAGGUAGACGCUGUAUUUUUCAUAUCUAUAAAGGACACGCGUAAACAUGGGUCAGUUUACUCAACUAUUUACUGUUGGCAAAGACUACUCAGUUCGGUAGCAAUAAAUACAUUCAAGCAUUGUUAGAACAAAAAACGUUUUUUACUCCUCAUUAGAGGAUCUUCUACAGCGCUACAUUUCCUUAUGCAUACCUUUUUGUCAUCGCACAGAUAUAUAGUGCGCGACUGCUUUGCCCAGAUAUAUAGAAAAAACAAAAAUAGCUACACGGUCGGCUGUAAGAAUGGCCAUAUGUCUCCAUAUAUCGAGUUAGUACAUUAUUCGAACUGGGUGAUGUAAGGGCCCAGCGUAAAGCGUUGGACAAAUAUGGAUGUGAGGGUCCAAAAAAGUCAUUUUUAAACAUCAUUACUGAUCUAUCAUUGUUUCAUUCUCUAGGCAGCGAAUAAGUUCGCAUCUCAAUGUUCUAUAAGAAAGUUGUCUGUUUCUGCCGGCAACAUCGGUUCAGCAUCGUCUGUUUUCUAAUGGCAAACUUCAACAAACGAUAGUGCAUUCAUUGAAACGUUCGAGGGUUGAACAUCAGUCGGAUUUGCCAGUUGGCCAAAUCGACUAUCUUUUAAGUACAUGACGAACCUUAACGCUCCCCGCUAUCAGAGUUUCGCUUCGGAAUCGAGUCGACGGCUCAGUUAUUGCCAAUACCAUUGGCAAAGUGAAAUAUAGUAGAUCUACAACGAUCUAAUAUUGUUUAGGACAGUAAAUAUAUGUGGGUGACAAAGGAUCUUGCUUGCAUUACCCCCACCAAUAACGAAGGUGAAUCCGUUUUUGAGCGACGCUUUCGAGGAAAUCAAAUAAUCAGAAUUGGAAAAGUAAAGGAUUCAGUCUGAUCCCGCCGGCGGUUUCGAUUUGUACCUAGAGCACGGGUUCGUUCUGCGUUACAGCCGAAAAAAAGCAUCGACCCCUGUUCUUGUUUGCCAAAUAUAUCUUCGGGGUAAAUAUGUAUCGCGAAGAGAGGCUCUAUGAUAAGGGCGUGACAAACUAUAUUCGUUUCUAUGCUGGAACUACGUUUGCAUACUAAACAAACUUACGGCAUAUAGAGGAAAUGCCUUUAAAAAAUGUUCGUAGUACUUUCUAAUUAUAACAUUACCAGCAUAUAAUUAGAUUUUAUAAAUUAUAACUGGAAUUCAUAAACUACUCUUCCACGAUGCUGCUUGUUAGUUGCUUAACACUAGCAUUAGGUUCUUGCACUGGAGGCCUGAAACAGGCCAGUUGACAAUGACGUAUUCUACUGCAUAUCGUGAUUUAGAUAAAUUUAUGUUGGUACAGAAAAUUAUCUUCUAUAGACUGGCUUUUCUAAUGCAGAGUAAUAAUAUCGUCCGUUGGCUCGUGUGCUCUCACCGAUUAUACAUCAUUGUAGUAAUGAAGAACGAAAAAAACACGUUUUUUUGUUCUAGUAUCACAGAUAAAUUUGAACUGAGGCCGAUUAAGAGACUUCAUCUGCCUAACUCUACGGAUCCAUAUGUUUUCGUUUUUUAUUAAAUAUUCAAUAUUCAAAUAAACAAUUGCGACAUUGGAUCUAUGCAGUUAUUUAUGUCAGCAUUGAUGCUUGCUAUGAGAAUACUACUACGAAUGAACGUCAGUAUUUAUAAUAUAGUACAACUUUACCGCCAUGACAGGUCUCUCGAAUUGCGACGGUCGGCCGAGUUCCCGUAGUAAUGGACUUGUUUGUCCCCAGCUACAAAAUGCAUGUAUCAUAGUUGAUAGUUUACCCGAAGGAUCUGUUGGCUUGCCUGAACUAGCCUAUAAUGUGCCUAGACCAAUAGAAAAAAAUGAAGGUUGUUGUUUUGUACGUGUGCAGUAUCAUCCGCUAUUGGAUGCUUCUCAACUAGUCCCACCCACGACGUCCUCGGUGCGUGUAACAUUUGGACGAGAUUCAAACCACACGAAAAUUAGCCUUCCAAUGUAUUAGGACGAAAAAUACAACUUGAAAACUGCGACCGAAAGUGGAAGUGGCAUUCACGACAAUGUCUCCUAAGUAAAAAUUUAGCAUUAAAGUUGGAUCGUGACUUGAAGUUAUCGUCGCUAUCUAAUAUGUGGCACUAAUAUUGGAUGAGAAUAAAUUAGGCACUGAAGUCCUUCUUAAGUCGUACAGGCAAGGCAUUGUGGGCUCCAAAAGACCAUGUCUGUCGUAAAAAAAACAAUAACAAAUCUAUGACAUAAAUGGGUGUGGCUGUUUGAUUUCACACGAAUCCGGCUAUUGGCCAUAUUUAAAAUGAUAAACAAGGAAGGAAAUUCUUCUUUUUAAGCCUAUUUAUUACUGACGAUAUUUAGAUUCAUUCUGAAUAGAAACAAUUAUAAUAAUAAGAAGAAUAUAAAUACAAUUAGUAUGUAUACCUAAUCGGUUUAUGAGAGGCGGGUUUUUUCAAAAACAUAGAAUGACUCAAAAUUCGACGAAGCCUCAGACCCGCUGGUUAUGGGGAACGUAUAUAUACAUUUUAGAUUUUUAUACGAGGCAUCAUAGCUUUAUUGCGUAACGGAUCAUAGAGUGACUUUGGAAAUGGCCGACAGGACAAAGCGUAAUCGUGUUCGACCAGGUUUACCUAAUGGAGUUUACAUCUUCAGCCGUAACCUGCGUUGUUAUAGGGCACUCGGAUAGCAACUCAGUAUAAACUUUCAAAUCGGGCUCAAAUAGAUGAGAUAUACUUACUGACAGAGGAAGUUCUUUAAAUCAUCUAAUUAACAAUAUUUAUUAUUUUAUACUUUAUAUGUUCAACUUGUGUAACAAGCAAACAAACACAUAAAUAUAAUUUUAGAUAAUAAUUAAGUUUUUGUAAUAAGCUUUACACAUCCCCGCCGAAGCGCCGACUCCAUGCGAUCAUUACCUCUUCCGAUGGCAUAAAAACAAUGUAUUAAGUAUAGCUUAGCUUAUUGAUUAAGCAAACAGAUGAAUUCGAACGACGCUUUUCGCUACCCGUUCAACUAAGUUCCAAUAAUCAAGUUCCCCUAUGUGGGGUAAUAGGGGGGCGAAAACCCCAAUAAAUUGGCACGUGCAUACAUCAUUAAUAAGACAAACCAUGACUAAUAUAUAUAUAUAUAUAUACCACUAUCGUUGAAUACUAUAUCCAAUAUAUAUAAUAUGAUAGAAAACUGCUUUGUUUGGUAGCACAUUGUUCCUGUAGCUCAGUUCAGGACAAAUCUGGACUUUCGGCUAUGGAUGUAUCGAAAAGAUCAUUCGAGAAAUAAUACACCUGUGUAUGUAUGUGUGGGCACGUGCGUGUGGGUGUAUGUAUGUGGUAUUUUCUGUCUUUAACGGUUCGAUCAGCCAUUGCCUGAUCAGAAUGAUUAAUAGAAGUGCCCGGUUGAAUAAUGUCCAAAGAGUGCAUCCGCGGUAACGCGUUGAGUAAUCACCACAUCGAAGUAUUUUCGACAUUUUCUUCAUUUAGGAUCAGUACGAGAUCUUCGAUUCAGAGCAGAAACGUGUGGCAGCCAAAGGUCGUAUCAUAAAUUAAACGCCUACUACUAUAUAAUUUGAAGGAGACUCAUCGACCGUUUACACUGGGAAAUCUCGAUAGUUUUGGCAUCGAAAUCACCUUCUACCAUGUGGGUCUGAAUAUCUGUACACUCACUCUCAGCGGUCUCCCGAUCGAGCUUCAUCCUAGAUAGGUGAGGUGACGGUUUCU